CCAAUAGCGUAUAUUAAAGUUGUUGCAGUUAAAAAGCUCGUAGUUGAAUUUCGGGGUUCUACCGUUGGUCGGGCAAUUGUCUGUACUGGCGUGUGGAAUUUCUACCUUCUGGGGAACCAUCAUGUUAUUAAUUUAGCGUGGUGGGAAACCAGAACCUUUACCUUGAAAAAAUUAGAGUGUUCAAAGCAGGCUUACGUCUGAAUACAUUAGCAUGGAAUAAUAAAAUAGGACGGUGGUCCUGUUUUGUUGGUUUCUGAAUCACCGUAAUGAUUAAUAGGGAUAGUUGGGGGCAUUAGUAUUCAAUUGUCAGAGGUGAAAUUCUUGGAUUUAUUGAAGACUAACUUCUGCGAAAGCAUUUGCCAAGGAUGUUUUCAUUAAUCAAGAACGAAAGUUAGGGGAUCGAAGACGAUCAGAUACCGUCGUAGUCUUAACCAUAAACUAUGCCGACUAGGGAUCGGACGAUGUUAAUUUUUCUUGACUCGUUCGGCGCCUUACG
rnacentral:rRNA from 1 species